CAUUCCUCCCAUCCUUACACCAGCACAAAUGACUGGGUGUGCUUAUACAGUGUGCAGCAAGAGAGCCGCACAGAUAAAAAUGGAAAGAAGGAGAGGAGGCAAAGGAAUAAUUUUCUGUCAGAUCAGAUCCUGCAUCCAGUUCACUACUUUGACACAUGAACAGAUUUUGGACACAUCUGAGCCUCGAGAGCAGGGAGCAUACAGACUGGCCAAAACACAACUCUGAAUUUGGCAGAAAUUCCCUAAGGAAAGAAUUCAUCCAGAUUUUUCUCCAAAUGCAGCAGAGCAUGUGGGGAUACUCUGAAAGAAUAUGGAGAGGGAUUUCACAUGGAAGGAACUAUGAAAAAAUGCAUACCAACUGAAAAAUUCCCAAGUAGUAAGUCACACAUGUGAUGACUCAGCUGGCCUAGGGAGCUGAAGCACUCAAAGCAUCUCUGUUUCAGGUAGACACUUGGACACAUGUCAGAUGUCCUUUCCACAACGGCAAGAGAGCAAGGAGCUUGUGAAGAGCUCACUAUCCAUUCUCACUAGGACAAACACAACAAAAUAGUAGAUUUUCUGAGACCAAGAAUAGAAAAUGAAGGCCCUUCCUUUCCUCUUUUCCUAUACUUACAUUUCUACCUACCCAAUGGAAUAUCUAACAUAACCAUGCUCAGUCUUCCAGAAACCUGAAUUUACAAUGUGGAGUUCAGCUACCUGAAAGCCCAGCAUCUAAACUUCCUUCUGGAAAUAAAAAUAAACCCCCAUAGUCCCCUAUCAUCAUCUAAGAAAAUAUAAGAAACAUUUUCAGAGUAUGACCACAUACUGAAAUAACUUUUGUGUCAGACACAGUAGCCUAUGAAGAUGUUUUACAAAUACAGUUCUGAUUCAAAUGCUCUUCAUUAUCUGAGUAUGGACUUUUAACUUUUUGUUUUAUGAUUUUAUCAUAUCAUGUAAAAGAUUCUAUGUUAGACUUGUUUCACCAUGAAAACCGAGUCUGAGUUUGUGUCCCAUCCUCCAUUUGAUCAGGCGUGUGUAUGUUCUUUAUUACAGACUCAAUGUGUUUUUAAGGCAAUUGCAUCUUAUUUGCAGAUCUUUACAUUUUGGAAAAAAAAAAGCCUAGUGCUCUUGUGUGCACAUUAAAUGAACCAUAUUUUAAAUAUCUGAGAAAGAGUUUUCAUAUAUGAUGUGAUAUCAGGAAGCAGUUUUUUUCAGCCCAGUCAGCAAAAUUAGGUUCUAAUGGAAUUAAUUAUCCCCCACAUGAGAAGCAAGCGCUUGCAAUGUGGCAUCUUAAGAAGCAAAAGCAUAAAUUUAAAUAUGAUUUUUAUAUGUUUUUAAAUUAAAAAUUACAUUACAUAAUAAUAUUUAUUGUCUAUAUACAAUUUUUAUCCUAGACAAGUUGUUGUAACACAAAAUGUCAAAUCCCAGCUGUUAAAAGCAUGAAUUCUUUUUUGUAUUUUAAGUUGCUUCCCCUUGAAAUGACAUUGCAAAAAAUAUAUUUUUGGGAGUAGUUUUCAGUGUUUUUCAAUAUUAUAUGCUUCUUCUGUGGGAUUUUUACCUAAAAAUAACCACCUACCUUGAUAUCUGCAUGCUCGUCACUCUGUCUAUUUUAAAUAUUUUUUGCCUACUACAAAGUGGCAGUAUAUUUUUAAGGAAAUACACUUAUGGUCCUUUGUUGCUAUAUUCUGUUUCCAAAGAGCUGUAAAUAAAAAUACAUAAAACUCAA